CUAAUGUGAAGAAAUGAAAUAGUUCCUGCCUUGAGGGAACUUACAUUAUUUGACAUAAUACAAUUCUGAUUUUCAUUGAUUUCUGGUACAGCUACAAGUGCUAUAUCUCCUUGACAAUACUGAAAUCACCAUGUCAUAGAUGUGAAGGUGGAAAAGAGGUGGAGAGGUUAGGAAACUGAGAUCCAAAGAAAUGACAUGAAUUGUCCAGUAUGAACAUUGGACUCUGCUCCUGCAUCCUCAAUCCUGGGGCCCUGGUGACCAAGAAUGAACAAGAUGUCCAAGUUUAAAAUUUAUUGGUUUUAAGACAGCUGGAAGUUUAUUAGUUUCAGAAGAUUGGAAGCAAGGAAAAGUUUCUUCUGUGGAAAAAAAAAAAUGACCUCUAGAAGAAGGAUAAAUAGACGUGUUCUGAAUGCAUACAUGUGUUGAAAUAUGGACAUGAAUAUUCAGAAAUUCCUCCAAACGUCUUCAUGUUCCAAUGGAUUUUGAAUGUUAGUAUCCCAGGAGAGUUUAUAAAACAUAUUAUAAAUUAAGAUACUGAAAUCUGUGUAGGUUUUAAGUCAUUAUGUCAUUACAAACUGUGAAUUUUGUGCCUUUUAGCUUAUUGUGUAGGAAAUUUUUCUUUUUUUGGUUCACAUUAUGCAUUAUACUCUUUUAAAUCUCUCUUUGGAGAGACUAUUCAUGAACCAAAAUGUAAGCUUUCAAUAACUUGUCCCAGGAUCUCAGGGGCUGAAGAUUUUUUUUUUUCAAAAGGAUUCAAAUUCUUCUUAUUAAAGAUCAAACUCCUCAAAGUGCUUAGCACAAUGACUGCCCUGUACUAGGUGGUAUUCCCUUGUAAAGACUGAACCUUGUGUGGUUCAUAUGUCUGAUUUUUAAGGCAGAGAAUUUGUGGGUUUAGUGUCAAAAUCCCUAGAGUCUUGUAGUGGUUCUUGAUGUUAGACAUUAUUUCCAAAAAGCUUAUUUAUCAAUGUUCUAUUCAAAUGGAUCCAAAAAUUGGAAAGCAACACAAUUCCCUAAUCUCUUGAUAUUCACUUUGAUUU